CCCCUUUGGAUUCUAACUGAAAGAAACUUUUCUUAUCUGAAUUUCCUUCCCAUAAGAAGUUGCUUCUUAAUGAGAAAAGUCUCUUUUCAACUCUUGUGAGAUAGAGAACAGUGAUGUCUAAGUAGGAAUACCAUCAAGAACAGUGUUUACUGAAGUGUCUGCUUCCAAAAGAAACUGCUUCUUCCAUGAUGUUAGCUUCUUUCUACAUCUAUCAAUUACCCCUUAAUAUAUACCGAUGUGCUUCUGUUUAGCCCCAAGAGGGAUGCAUCUCCUAUUCCUUAAUGUUCCAACAAGUAAUACUACGCUUUUAGAAGAAAUAUCAGCAUAAAACUUCCACUCACCUUCAAUUAGAACAGGAAAACCAAAAAAUAAGCUCCAAGUAACCCUGAUCCUACCCACUAACUCCUUUUCUUCUGCCUUGGGCUUCCUAAUGUCUUUUGACUUUUUUUAUAAAAUGACGGUAGUGUCCAAGCCAUUUUGUGUGCACCUUGACUAUUCCACCGGGUAGUUGGUACCUCGCACUAGCACAUGUACCAGGUAACUCUCUCCAUCAAGGCUUAGGCAUAUGAGAAGAAAUCACCUAUUGUUUUUUGCCUCCACUGGAAUAUGAACCUAAGACCUCUUGAUUCUCCCCUCCACUUCAGUGACCACCAGGCCACACCCUUGGGUGCACCUUUGACUCUUUUCAAUCUCAGAUAUUGUCAUUCUUGCAGAUUUAAGGACAAAAUUACCUUGUAAGAAUCAGCUUCGACAGUAGGUGGACAUAAAUGCUUCGAUGUGGAACUACUAGAGUAAGCUGUUGCCUUGGAAAGGACAUGCAACAAUAAAAGGAACCAAAAACCACGCUGUUCCUUUUACAGUAUUUUGCUGCCACAUCCUUCUCCUCAGAAGAAAAUCAUUUGUAAUUUAAACUUGUGCACUGCCUUGCACCAAUAAGGGGUAAACGCUUCUUAAAUCGAGAUAGGAAAGUGCUAUCUUACCAAGAAAAUCUACAAAAACCUCAGGCGUUAGGGAGAAAUACUAUAACGUAACAAAUUUUGAGAGAAAUAAAUUUCCUUUCAAUUCCUACCAAGGAAAGCUCUAAGUGAUGGAGAAAAUUAGAAAUUUAAACUCACCAGAUUAAGUACAUGGUCUUUGAAAGAAGAAGCUUUAGAAGCUGGCUUCCUUGUCCCAAUUCUUUGAAGUUGCUCAAUCUCCUAUCAUAGUGAAAGAGAGAGCAAGGGAAAAGUUCACAACUGAAGCUGCUAUGACAAAUCCAUUCGGAAAAUGAAGAUGAAGGAAACUUACAACUUCAAACUUAAAUAGACAAAGCUUGCCCUCAAGUGGUAACCUAUUGUGCAACCGCAUUAAAAAGUCUGCAAAUGAUCAAAGUUAUACCACAAUAUCAAUUAUCAAUGAAUUUGAUAACAACCAAUAGUUGUGGUCAGUCUGGUCAUCUCCAGGUUGUUGAGAGUUUGUCAUAUUCAUUUACAUUGUACCUCUCAUCAAAUGCUGAGACAAACUGACUAGACGCAGGCAUUAAUCUAUUCAGUUAAAUGAUGAAUAAUUACUCUACGUGAGGAUCUAAUUGCUAUAGUAUGUGAAAUUAUAUUCUUGUUUCCAGCAUGCAUAACUGCAAAUAUGUUAAGCUUGAAACUUAAGAAAGAAAAGGAUUUCAAGCAAAGAAUAUAAACCAAACACUUCCAGUCAGAAAAAUGGUGAAACUCAAAGUAUAAGUUUUUACUUCCAAAGGGCUAAGCUACAAAUAACUUGCCAAGAGAAAACGAGAGCAGUGUAGUGCUUUUAUACAAAUUAUAUAACAUAAAACUACAAUGUUUUCCAAAGAUGUUUAUAAACUACAAGAAGACUUGAUAAGUUCAAGGCAGAAAGAUGUACAGGUCCUAAUUUGGGAAAAAAACGUUAUACGUUGGAGAAAGUGAAAAUUCUAUUGAUUAGUGCAAAAUCCCCCGAGUACAAGAGGAAGGAAAAACAAAUACAUUAAAAGCGCUUGAUGAGAUCCAGGUAUUGAACCAUGUCAGAUUCAGACAUUGAAUCACAUCCUUUAGAAGUUAAUAGAUGAUAGUUGCAGAAGCUCCUUACUAUAGAAUAGCUGCAAAAUCAGAUCUAGGAAAAGAAUAUCACUAAACCUUUAUUCAAUGCUAUAACAUUCAUAUAUAGGAUUCUUUGAUCCAUUCCUAUAGCAUAAAAUCCAGAACUAUAAAUCUAAGUCACUUGUCGAAUUAAUUAACAGAACUAUAAAUCUAACUUGAAUAAUUUGUUGAAUUUUAAAUUACAUUUAGUUAAUCCAGCAUCAGUUCAGAGAGAGAACCUCCAUUAGCUAAGCUUAUCGCUACUUUCAAGGCUCUGUGUAUGAACUACUUUUUCAGGUUCAGAUCUAGACACUUCCCAUUUUGGACGUUCCCAAAUGUUUUGACACCAUUUCCAUUUCUAUACAAACUUUCAGUUAUUCAAAUUCAUUCAACUAUUCAAACUUUAAAAUUAGCCGUGAUUUUUUCUCCAUCAAACAAACUUUUCAACAUUACUUCAAUGUUUUCUUUUAUAAUCGCUCAUUUAAAAUAUAAGUCAAAUGAAUAUCUUGAACUCUGAACCAAUGAAUUUGAAACACUGAACUUUUUUACAAAAGGUCUCAAAAGAGGAACUGGGGUGACAGAUCAUAAAAGCAUGAUGCAUGCAUUAACUGUAUAACAGUGAUCCCUACUAACUAUCUAGCUUAACUGACCUUCGUUCCCCGAGUCAAUUGGCUACAGUCAACAGAUCUUAAGCAACUUCAAACAGGAGGAAAAAGCAUUCUGGCUCAAAUAUAUAAGACCACUUCAUUUCUAGAUAAAGGAAAAGAGGAAUACAAUCCUUACCUUUGAUUUAUCUUCAGCCAAUCACAACUGCUUAAUGAUUUUGGAUUCAGAGCCCAGAAUGU
rnacentral:lncRNA from 1 species